rnacentral:pre_miRNA from 1 species
UUUAUUUGACACCAUUGACUUUUUAGCACAUGUUUGACCGCUCGUCUUAUUCAAAAAAUUUAAAUAUAUGUAAUUUUUUUCCUAUGAAUUGAUUCAUUGUAAAUAUACUUUUAUGCAUACAUAUAGUUUUACAUAUUUCACAAAAGUUUUUGAAUAAGACGAGCAGUCAAACAUGUGCUAAAAAGUCAACGGUGUCAAAUAAA